UACGUAGGAUGCAAGCGUUGUCCGGUAUUUACUGGGCGUAAAGCGCACGUAGGCGGCUUUCUAAGUCAGGGGUGAAAUCCUGGAGCUCACUCCAGAACUGCCUUUGAUACUGAGGAUCUUGAGUCCGGGAGAGGUGAGUGGAACUGCGAGUGUAGAGGUGAAAUUCGUAGAUAUUCGCAAGAACACCAGUGGCGAAGGCGGCUCACUGGCCCGGUACUGACGCUGAGGCACGAAAGCGUGGGGAGCAAAGCAGG
rnacentral:rRNA from 1 species